GAGACUCUGUGCGCGUGCAUAUCAAUAAGCGGAGGAAAAGAAACUAACAAGGAUUCCCCUAGUAACGGCGAGUGAAGCGGGAAGAGCUCAAAUUUGAAAUCUUAAAGGGUUUCCCUUUACGAAUUGUAGUUUAAAGAAGUGUUUUCUGUUGGAGUUUCGGUAAAAGUUCUUUGGAAUAGGACAUCAUAGAGGGUGAGAAUCCCGUAUUUGAUCCGUUACUUUCCAGCUGUGUGAUACACUUUCAAAGAGUCGGAUUGUUUGGGAAUGCAGUCCAAGAUGGGUGGUAAAUUUCAUCUAAAGCUAAAUAUUGGCGAGAGACCGAUAGCGAACAAGUACCGUGAGGGAAAGAUGAAAAGAACUUUGAAAAGAGAGUUAAACAGUACGUGAAAUUGUCAAAAGGGAAGCGUUUGACACCAGUGUUGUUUAGUUGAAAAUCAAUUCAAUAGUUUUUGAUUCUAAGUAGUAUUGACUUCAUCAGCUUGCUGCUUUCUUCUCAGAAAUUAUUGAAUGCACUUUUCAGUUAACAAGUCAACAUCAAUUUCUUUUGUUGUAAAAGGGUAAGAGGAAGGUGGCUUGCGCUUCGGCUCAAGUGUUUAUAGCCUUUUAUCUCUGCAAUCGGAGAGAUUGAGGUCUGCAGCGUAGAUCCUUCGGGGUUAGAUACAUUGGUGCUAAGCUAUAGCCUUGUAUAGACAACUUGUUGACUAUGCUCAGUCAUGUAGCUUACUCGCUGAUGCUAUUUUACCUACGCUUAGGAUGUUGACAGCAGUAUAGACUGU
rnacentral:rRNA from 1 species